rnacentral:misc_RNA from 1 species
UCUCGGCUUAUCACCGGCAGUCCCCCUAGAGUGCCCAACUGAAUGAUGGCAACUAAGGGCGAGGGUUGCGCUCGUUGCGGGACUUAACCCAACAUCUCACGACACGAGCUGACGACAGCCAUGCAGCACCUGUCUCUCGGUUCCCGAAGGCACCCCCGCAUCUCUACAGGGUUCCGAGGAUGUCAAGACCAGGUAAGGUUCUUCGCGUUGCAUCGAAUUAAACCACAUACUCCACCGCUUGUGCAGGCCCCCGUCAAUUUCUUUGAGUUUUAAUCUUGCGACCGUACUUCCCAGGCGGCACGUUUAUCGCGUUAGCUUCGCCACAAAAGGGGUCGAUUCCUUUUACAGCAAACGUGCACCGUUUACAGCCAGGACUAC